rnacentral:rRNA from 1 species
UACGGAGGGUGCAAACGUUGCUCGGAAUCAUUGGGCGUAAAGCGCACGUAGGCGGCUCGUUAAGUCGGCUGUGAAAUCCCGAGGCUCAACCUCGGGUUUGCAGUCGAUACGGGCGGACUGGAGUUCGGCAGGGGAGACUGGAAUUCCUGGUGUAGCGGUGAAAUGCGCAGAUAUCAGGAGGAACACCGGUGGCGAAGGCGGGUCUCUGGGCCGAUACUGACGCUGAGGAGCGAAAGCGUGGGGAGCGAACAGG